UGGGAAGUAUUGCACAAUGGGGAACCCGUGAUGCAGCGACGCCGCGUGGAGGAAGAAGGUCUUCGGAUUGUAAACUCCUGUUGUUGAGGAAGAUAAUGACGGUACUCAACAAGGAAGUGACGGCUAACUACGUGCCAGCAGCCGCGGUAAACGUAGGUCACAAGCGUUGUCCGGAAUUACUGGGUGUAAAGGGAGCGCAGGCGGGAGAACAAGUUGGAAGUGAAAUCCAUGGGCUCAACCCAUGAACUGCUUUCAAAACUGUUUUCUUGAGUAGUGCAGAGGUAGGCGGAAUUCCCGGUGUAGCGGUGGAAUGCGUAGAUAUCGGGAGGAACACCAGUGGCGAAGGCGGCCUACUGGGCACCAACUGACGCUGAGGCUCGAAAGUGUGGGUAGCAAAACAGGAUUAGAUACCCU
rnacentral:rRNA from 1 species